CGUAGGGUGCGAGCGUUAAUCGGAAUUACUGGGCGUAAAGCGUGCGCAGGCGGUUUUGUAAGACAGGCGUGAAAUCCCCGGGCUCAACCUGGGAACUGCGCUUGUGACUGCAAGGCUAGAGUACGGCAGAGGGGGUGGAAUUCCACGUGCAGCAGUGAAAUGCGUAGAGAUGUGGAGGAACACCAAUGGCGAAGGCAGCCCCCUGGGUCGAUACUGACGCUCAUGCACGAAAGCGUGGGUAGCAAACAGGAUUAGAUACCCUGGUAGUCCACGCCCUAAACGAUGUCAACUAGGUGUUGGGUGGGUAAAACCAUUUAGUACCGGAGCUAACGCGUGAAGUUGACCGCCUGGGGAGUACGGCCGCAAGGUUA
rnacentral:rRNA from 1 species